CGCACGGGUGAGUAACGCGUAUCCAACCUGCCCUUCACCACGGGAUAACCCGGCGAAAGUCGGACUAAUACCGUAUGUUGUCCAUUGACGGCAUCCGAUUUGGACGAAAGGCUUGGCGGUGAGGGAUGGGGAUGCGUCCGAUUAGCCAGACGGCGGGGUAACGGCCCACCGUGGCGACGAUCGGUAGGGGUUCUGAGAGGAAGGUCCCCCACACUGGAACUGAGACACGGUCCAGACUCCUACGGGAGGCAGCAGUGAGGAAUAUUGGUCAAUGGGCGUAAGCCUGAACCAGCCAAGUAGCGUGCAGGACGACGGCCCUAUGGGUUGUAAACUGCUUUUAUGCGGGGAUAAAGUGGCCCACGUGUGGGUUUUUGCAGGUACCGCAUGAAUAAGGACCGGCUAAUUCCGUGCCAGCAGCCGCGGUAAUACGGAAGGUCCGGGCGUUAUCCGGAUUUAUUGGGUUUAAAGGGAGCGUAGGCCGCGCCUUAAGCGUGUUGUGAAAUCCGGGUGCUCAACAUCCGGCUUGCAGCGCGAACUGGGGCGCUUGAGUGCGCAGAAAGUAGGCGGAAUUCGUGGUGUAGCGGUGAAAUGCUUAGAUAUCACGAGGAACUCCGAUUGCGAAGGCAGCCUACUGUAGCGCUACUGACGCUGAUGCUCGAAAGCGUGGGUAUCGAACAGGAUUAGAUACCCUGGUAGUCCACGCGGUAAACGAUGGAUGCUCGUUGUCGGCCCUUUGGGUCGGUGACCAAGCGAAAGCGUUAAGCAUCCCACCUGGGGAGUACGCCGGCAACGGUGAAACUCAAAGGAAUUGACGGC
rnacentral:rRNA from 1 species